rnacentral:rRNA from 1 species
AUACACAAAUUCACUAUUGCGUNAAAUAGAGCUUAAUAGUCUUGAAAAACUAAAUUGCGUGGCGGCUUAACAACUAUAUAGAGAGGCAUGCUUUUUAAUCGAUACUACACGAACAUCUUACCUAAUUUUGUAAUUCAAUCAUUUUGCACACCGCCGUCGGAAGAAUAAUUUUAGAGAAUUGUUCAUUAUCUUACUUUCAUCAAUUAAACGUGUUGGAAGUAAGACUUAAGUCAGGUCAAGGCGUAGACUAUGGUUAGGUUAAAGUGUGACUCAUUAUUAUUAUUAUAUCUUUAGUGUAAAUUUACAAUAGCUUAUACUAUAUUAAUGAAUAUUAAUAAAGUAAAUGANUUUAUAAGUAAAUUGUGUUCAAAACACANNCCUGAAUAGAGCUNUGUNUAGUGC